AAACCAACAGGGAUUGCCUUAGUAGCGGCGAGUGAAGCGGCAAAAGCUCAAAUUUGAAAUCUGGUACUUUCAGUAUCCGAGUUGUAAUUUGUAGAAGCAACUUUGGUGAUGGUCUUUGCAUAAGUUCCUUGGAAUAGGACGUCAUAGAGGGUGAGAAUCCCGUUUAUGGUGAAGAACCCACACUAUGUAAAGUGCUUUCGAAGAGUCGAGUUGUUUGGGAAUGCAGCUCAAAGUGGGUGGUAAAUUCCAUCUAAAGCUAAAUAUUGGCGAGAGACCGAUAGCGAACAAGUACUGUGAAGGAAAGAUGAAAAGAACUUUGAAAAGAGAGUGAAAAAGUACGUGAAAUUGUUGAAAGGGAAGGGAUCUAAAUCAGACAUGGUAUUUUGUGAUCAACAGUCUUUCGGGACUGUGCACUCGCAUUUUACUAGGCCAGCAUCGGUUAGAAGGGGGUAAAAAAGAUUUUGGAAUGUGGCUCCUCGGAGUGUUAUAGCCAAGGUUAAUUGCCCCAUUUCUGACCGAGGACCGCGUCUUUUGACUAGGAUGCUGGCGUAAUGGUUUUGANCCAC
rnacentral:rRNA from 1 species